CCAAUGCCCUUCAUCCUCAUCCCUGGCUAGAUCUACAUUCGCCUUAGCGCCUUUGUCUCAAACCCAGACCCAAUAUCUGGUGCAAGUCGUCGCACGACAUCUCAGCUAGCCUCAUUUCUUGCUUUGGGUGGAUCUGAUUAAAUAUCUUAGUCACGAGGAUGACAACAUCUAUGCAAUGAAAUUAGGCGAUAGAUCCAUUGGGUUUGGUUGGGGACAGAUCUGGGGUCAAAACUGUUUUUUUUUAUAUAAAAAAUUGGACAUUUUGGUAGCUAUAACUAUUUGUUGAUUAUUGAGUUAGAGUUUAGAUGAAAGGAUUGAAUUUUCAUUUUUGUGACUUCUGGGUAUAAAUGUGGAUUGUUUCAGUAUGUUCAUGAAGAUAUUGAUGAACAAAAAUAUUCAUCAUUUUUGUCGAUACAAAUCUGUGUUUAUUUUUGUUGUAAGUUUGAUUGGUGGAUGAUAAAAAUUUGGGUUUAAUCUUAUUUAGAUUUUGCUUA